rnacentral:tRNA from 1 species
GGUCAGGUGGCAGAGUUUGGCUGAUUGCGCUCCCCUGCUAAGGGAGUGUUCCGAUACAAAGGAACCGUAGGUUCAAAUCCUAUCCUGACCG